rnacentral:tRNA from 1 species
UAAAUUUUAAGUUAAAAUAAACUUUAAUUUUUCAAAAAUUAAUAUAUUUAAUAUAAAAUAAAUUUAU